rnacentral:rRNA from 1 species
AUGGAUCGCGAAACUAUUACCUCACAAAAAGUACUGGAGCGUAUUCUAUUUGAUGAAAGCGCAGAACCAAAGGCCCUACCGUUAUCACUUCUGGCACACAUCACCAGCAAUUUUUCUGAUGACAAAGAAAUUGGCUGUGGUGGCUUUGCAAGGGUUUACAGGGGAAUGCUUGACAGUGGCACGGUUGCUGUGAAGAAGCUUCACGAUUUGGUUGAUAUGGAUGAGAAGAAAUUCAGCGAAGAAAUUCAUUGUCUGAUGAAGGCAAAGCACAAAAAUAUAGUACGGUUCCUAGGAUAUUGUUCUGACACACAAGGGGAAAUGGUAGUCUGUGAGGGAAAACUUGUCUUAGCAGAUGUACGACAAAGGCUACUCUGCUUUGAAUAUCUACCUAAAGGCAGUCUAGAUAAGCAAAUCACUGAUGUAUCUUGUGGACUUGAAUGGAGAAAGCGCUAUCAAAUCAUCAAUGGAAUUUGUGAUGGUUUAUAUUAUCUUCACCAAAAUCACAUCGUUCACUUGGAUCUUAAACCGGCAAAUAUACUGCUAGAUGAUAACAUGUUGCCGAAAAUUGGUGAUUUUGGUCUAUCAAGGUGCUUUGGUGAAAAGCAAAGCCAGGCUAUUACAUCAAAACUAAUUGGAACUAUGGGAUAUUUGGCACCAGAAUUUUAUACGCGCAGACAGAUCACAUUCAAGUUAGACAUUUAUAGUCUUGGUAUGAUAAUCAUAGAGAUACUAACAGGAGACAGGGGAUAUGCUGAUAUUGAUAAUAUACUUGAGAGGUGGAGAAGUAGGUUGGAGAAAUCUCAGGGAGACAAACAACUGGUACAAGUACGAGUAUGCGCUGAGAUAGCGAUCGAGUGCGCUGACUUUAACCCGGCGAAACGACCAGAUACUCAGCAUAUAAUUGAUAGGCUUGGCGCAACAAGAAAUGCGGAUGAGUUCGCUACUGAAACUGGGGCGAGUAGUAGUUCAUCAGUAGCAAAGUCAGCAGUUGUGGCCCCUGGUCCCACAAUUGGUCCAGAGAAUCCAAUGGCUAAUGAGUUAAAGAAGUUGACAGAUGGACUAUAUGAUAUGACAAAAAACCAGCGUUUCAGUUUGAUGCCCGAUGAUAGCUCUAAUGUGCAGCAAGAAACUGACAUACAGGAAACAUCAUCAGAUGUGGAAGAAUCACUAAUCAUCGAGAGGACUGAAGAAAGAGAUAACAUGGUAGCUACUUUAUCUGGGAGUAUCUCACCUGAGUUCACCGUCCUUCCAAUAUAUGGCUUUGGAGGUAUUGGUAAGACAACGCUGGCCCAACUAGUUUUCGAUGAUGCUCAGUUUGCAGGUUACUUUAAGGUUUGGGUCUAUGUGUCCCAAAAUCUUGUCCUGAAUAAAAUUGGCAACUCUAUAAUAUCACAGCUAUCAGAGGAGAGCCAUGUAGCUGAAAGGCAGAUGAUACAUAUUAAACUCAGAGAGCUACUUGCUGGUAAGAAGGUUCUUAUUGUCUUAGAUGACGUGUGGGAGAAGAAUCCAGAUACACUAAAUUCUCUCAUGGCUAUGUUAAGAGUUGGUGUGGACAGUAUGGUGACAGUUAUUGUAACCACAAGAGAUGAAGCAGUUGCAAGGGAAAUUUGUCAUACAGUUGAACCAUACGAGCUAGAGACUUUAACAGAUAAAAUCUGCUGGAAAAUAAUAAAACAGAAAACUGCCUUUAACGAUCGAGUUGACAAAAAACGAUUGAAGCAUAUAGGAAGGGAGAUUGCAACCAAAUGUGGAGGUGUGGCCUUAGCGGCUCAAUCACUUGGAUACACGCUGAAGGGGAAGACGCCUGAUGAGUGGGAGUCAGUAAGAGACCAUUAUAUCUGGAAUGUAUCUAUUUUGGAGGAAUCAUCGUCAAGAGAUCAUGAAGUGCUUGCGUCCAUGCUGAUAAGCUAUAGUCAUAUGCCUGAAUGCUUGAGGUCAUGCUUUACCUAUUGUGCAGUGUUUCCAAAAGGUCAUAAUAUAGUGAAGUAUGAUCUAAUUCACCAAUGGAUAGCUCUUGGAUUCACUGAGCGGUCUAGGAUAUUUGACUCUAUGCAGCUCUGCGAGAAAUAUGUCGUGCAACUUUUGGGGAUGUCCUUCCUUCAGUAUUCAAAGACACCUAUGAGUGAUAGAUGGUGA